rnacentral:misc_RNA from 1 species
CGCUUAAUAGUUUUUGGAUGAGGCAAGCUGUGGAAUGCUAUUUUUACAAGACAAAUCCAAACAGCAGAAUAGGCUGCUUCUCCAAGCUGCAUCUACAUUCUAUAGUUGUAAUUUUUGGACCAGUUGAUGCAGAUAGCAAUUUCAUAGCCACAGUAAUGUCAAGCAACAAAUAUUAGAGAACUUCAAAAGUUACUACUGAAAAGCACAGAGUGUGUAGAAUUAGAGAACCUCAAAUUUUAUAGUAAUAGUAGUAGAAUGUCACAAACUACUUAUCCCAGUGAAAAGUGCUGAGAGCUCAGCAAAUGUCAGGCCCCAUUUGAGGAUGCAGUAGAAACAAAAAAACUGGUUUAGGUGAAAAGUUGAUUUCUCUUCUGUUUGGUUAUGCGUCUAAACCGAGUUUAGUGUAUACAAAAUCUGGGCUUUGAAAAAGCGUCUCUUUUUAUGCUUUUGGGAAAAUCAGUUUUGUAAGCAUGACCGGACAGCUGUUUUCAGACUUUAUUUCUACAAAAAUACCCUUAAUGAUUUUGAAUAUUUAUGCCAAUAUAAUGGUAAUUUCUUUCUCAUUCUCUCUGCAACUGAAACUUUGAAGAACCCUAGCUACGAUAUCAGUUGAAACUUGGAGAAAGAGAUGAGAAUGGCUUCAUUGAUGUCAACACUUGUCUACUGUCUACUCUACUUCUCCCACUGCAUUCAAUGGCAAUUCAACUUCAUGUCCAAGAAGGCGCAACACAGCAAUUUCGUUCCCCAUCACACAAGCAAGCAAUACGCUCCAUGUAGCCAAUCAUACUGUAAGUGAUUAUUCUCCAAUUAUUUGCUUCUGUUUAAAGUGUUUCUGUUCUUUCCUACGAUUAAUUAGUUUUCUGAAUUUUUUUUUUUUGGGGAUUUUCAA